GGGGAAUAUUGCACAAUGGGCGCAAGCCUGAUGCAGCUAUGCCGCGUGUAUGAAGAAGGCCUUCGGGUUGUAAAGUACUUUCAGCGGGGAGGAAGGCGAUAAGGUUAAUAACCUUGUCGAUUGACGUUACCCGCAGAAGAAGCACCGGCUAACUCCGUGCCAGCAGCCGCGGUAAUACGGAGGGUGCAAGCGUUAAUCGGAAUUACUGGGCGUAAAGCGCACGCAGGCGGUCUGUCAAGUCGGAUGUGAAAUCCCCGGGCUCAACCUGGGAACUGCAUUCGAAACUGGCAGGCCAGAGUCUUGUAGAGGGGGGUAGAAUUCCAGGUGUAGCGGUGAAAUGCGUAGAGAUCUGGAGGAAUACCGGUGGCGAAGGCGGCCCCCUGGACAAAGACUGACGCUCAGGUGCGAAAGCGUGGGGAGCAAAC
rnacentral:rRNA from 1 species